rnacentral:rRNA from 1 species
UACGUAGGGUGCGAGCGUUUGCCGGAAUUACUGGGCGUAAAGGGCUCGUAGGCGGCCAACUAAGUCAGACGUGAAAUCCCCAGGCUCAACCUGGGAACUGCGUCCGAUACUGGAUGGCUUGAAUCCGGGAGAGGGAUGCAGAAUUCCAGGUGUAGCGGUGAAAUGCGUAGAGUAUCUGGAGGAAUACCGGUGGCGAAGGCGGCAUCCUGGACCCGGCAUUGACGCUGAGGAGCGAAAGCCAGGGGAGCAAACGGG